CCUAUUCAGGCGACUACAGGGCAGACACACUGAAGAGGUGCCAGUGAUGGACCUACAGGUGGCCCAAACACAGGCUGAACUCCAAGACCUUGAGGAGCGCCUUAAGGUGCUGGAGUUCCGAAAGAGAGUGACGCUGUGAUGAAGUGGAAGACGGGACUGGGAGAGAAGGCUGUGGAGCUCGUCAUAGCGGAGACACUUAAACACGCCCCGGCAGCCCAUUCAAAACAAGCCAGGGCCAACAGACAGGACCUGUAGCGGGGACUGGCAGAAGAUUUUAAUUCACUGUUUGG